rnacentral:lncRNA from 1 species
CGGGAGACGGAGGUUGCAGUGAGCUCAGAUCGCAAAGGUAAAGAAGGAAGUGCUUGUUGUUAUUAGGGUGAGAGGGUAGCAUUUGUUAAACUUGGCUAGAGCCAGUGCAAAUAGAAUUUGGGAAGGUCUGGUGAUUUUUUCAUAGCUAUUUACAAGCUACUACUCCUCAGCAUGCAACUCAAAGGACAUUUUGAGUAUUAAUAAGAUUAUUUCAUGAACUGCUUUGAUUUUGUUUGCUGAAAUGUACCUUAUAAAUUAUGAUUUUACGAUUGAAGAGUAUAUGUAGAUUUAUAUUUUUUUCUCUCUCUUUUCAGAAUUAUGUUGAAUUUCUCAAUCAGGCAGAUUUCUAAAUGUGAGAUAAUUGCUAUAAAAUUGUCAGAAAGUUCCAAAGCAGUCUGAAACACAGUAGUGGGUUCAAUCAAUGAUUAGUUUCAUUUCUUUUCAAAGGCAUCACUAGAUUUUCCUUAUGGCUCUGGAGUUGUUUUCAAACUUUGUUCUUCUGAAUCACCUGAAGUACUUGAUAUGAAAAGAAUCUGCACAGGUGUAUUUACCUAGGUGAUCUCCAGUAUGGCGAUUCUUAAUUGUCCAUCUCAGCUUUUGGAAUAUGUGGAAAGCCAGGCUCUGAUCUGGAUAAUGACACAAGGAUGUUGGCAGAUUAUUAUGUCUCUUGAUUUCAGGGAGUUUAGCUUUAUUUUUGUAGUGAGGUGCAUUAGUUGAGGAAGAUCCAGUACCAGAUGGUAAUGUUGGCUGGGAGUGGUUUUCUCACCUACAUUUGGCAGCUUUACUCGGAAGUGGUGCUUUCAGUGCCUGAGACUUCCAGUCUAUGCUACUUAACAUGAUCAUUGGGAAGCUUUAGGUGGUAUAGAAGCAAUGACACAUCUCAUUAAAGGUCCCAUAACUAUGAACAUCUGACAUCUGUGCUGCAAAUAGGACUGAAUAAAGCCUUCAAGUGGUUACAGAUUCAAGGGGUAUGUUGUUUUUUAAAGGCACGGCUGAAAUUCGUUAUAUUUACCAGUCUUGUAAUUUCUAGAGGCAUUUUUGACUGGAAGACAUAGAUUACACAUUAAUAAACUGCUCCUUUCAAAGAUGACCUCCUCCUAAAUGGGUUCCCUCUUUCCCAGCAUUUAGACAAUGGUUUCAGCUGAUGGCUUAUCCAUGAUUUAGCAAUAAUCAUAACAAUAGCUAUCAUAAUUUGAUACCUAUAAUAUGCUAGGAUACUUUAUAUAUAAGUGAUACAAUAGCUCUCCAAGAUAUUCCCACUUUGUGGAUGAGGAACCUGGGGCUCUGAGGAAUUAAGGAACUUGCCAAAGACCAUAAAACUCCUAAGUGACAGAGCCAGGAUUCUGCCAGCUGUCUGGUUGCCCAGUGGAGUCUCUGUCCAUCUUGUCACCAGCCCCCGCACUGUGUACAGGAAUGGAAUCAGCAUUCAUUGCUAUAAACUGCAGUAAGGUCAAGGAGGCAGAAUUUGCUGCAAGGAAGUAAAGAGUCCCUUCUACCUUUGCCAGUGCUACUUACCAGUUAAAAAAAGACAUCGUUUUUUGUGAUCCAUACUCCUGAAGGCCAAAAGCACCCAGUGGACAGACGAUGGCUCUUACGCCUCCAAUGCCAAGGCAAAUGGUCAGCAGUGCUACAUAAAACAGCCUGUGCUGCUCUGUUUUUGCUGGAUGGAGCCUUCUUUGCCACAAACAGAGUUGAGAAAGCUGGGGACAGAGGAGUGUGAGUGGAAGGAGAGGGGACCUAAAGUGACAAAAGAAGAGGCUUUCACAAUGUAAAGACUAUAUGCCCUUAAUAGCUAUUUGGCAACAGAUUCAUUUACCAUGAGAUUCCAAAGUUGGGAUUUCCAUCCUGUCUGAUGACUGACCUCAGAAUUUAGACUGAUAGAAAUUACCAUGUUAAACAAGAAGUCAACAAAUGCUACUGGUGUGGCCUGUUACCAAGAACUAAAGCUGUGAAGUUUCCAGGUUUGACUUAAACUCCAAUGGAUUCUCUGAAUGAGCUCUGGCCAGUGUUGAUGUGGAGUAAUGGGGAACGUUUCUUCAUCCCAUUAUCAGUAAACUCCAAAGGGAAGUCUUACCAAACUGCCUCCUGGUUGCUGUCAUUUCUAAAUUUUAAGCUGGUAAAUUCUGAUAAAGAAGCCAGAGAAGACUGGAAAAACUGGACCAAGAAACUAGUUCCGUUGGGAACCCUGAGUAAGGCAAUUUGAAGGAACUGGAAACUCAACAAAUGAGAAAGAAGAAGUCAGGAUCACAGACUAUUGAUAUAAUCAAAUAAUAAUAAUAAUAACAAAUA